UUCUUUAGCGGCGUUUGUGAUAAAAGCGCCGCUAAAGGUUAUGUUCUUUAGUGGCGUUUGUGACAAAAGCGCCGCUAAAGGUCAUGAUCUUUAGCGGUGUUUGUGAUCAAAGUGCCACUAAAAGUCAUGAUCUUUAGCGGCGUUUUUUCACAUAAACGCCAUAAACGCCGCUAAAUUUAGUAGCGUUGUAACAAACGCUGCUAAAGGCCUAAAAAAACGUUGCUAAAAGUCUAUUUUGCUGUAGUGCAUUAUUAAAAGAUGAGGCAUUUCAAUGGUGGUUCACAUUAACGACAAUCGUAUAGAAAAAAAGAAUCAAUUGGGACUUCUUUUAGUCUAAAUUUCGAAAGAAGUAUAUUAGCAAGCGUUAUCUGGAGCGGAAGAAGAAAAAUUUCUUGAGUUGAAGCAAAGAAGAAGAACAGUGGUAGAAUAUGAGAAACAAUUCGUUCAGCUUAGCAAAUAUGCUCGAGAGAUAGUGCCUACCGAGGAAGAUAUGUGUGUAUGUUUUGAGAAUGAAUUGAAAGAUGAGAUUAGAAUGUUAGUAAGAACUUUGGAGAUCCGUGAACUUGUGGUGUCUGAUCGAACCCAGAAAAUGGAAAAGAUCUGUGAAAGUAAAAAAAGAGACGAAAUUUUGAUAAAUGCAAUGGGUCUAAAGCUUUCUCAAAUUCUCCACAGAAGAAGAUGAAAUAAUCUAGUAAUAAGUUCUCUACUCUGUCAAGAAGGGAUCAAUCGAAACAAAGUAGCAAGAAAGCUCCGACUCCUUCAGUAGCUAGUGUAGGCAAUGUAAAGAAAACAAAUAGAACAAAGUGCAAGCAAUGAGGACGAUUUCACCUUGGUGUUUGCAGAGUUAAUGAAGGGACAUGUUUUAUAUCUGGAUCUCCAGACCAUUUUAAAAGAGUGUCCAAAUCGAAGAGCCUAUUAAAGAGCAUAAUGAGAAAUUGAUGACCUCUCCUACUCGAGGUAGAAGACCUAGAAAUAACACUUCGACUAGAGUCAACAGAGGUAGGAAGAGUCAGCAACCAAACCUAAAGCUAGGACUCCUACUAGAACGUAUGUCAUUCGUGCACGAAAGGAAGCCUCGGCUCCUAUCGUUAUUGAGAGUACACUGAUAAUCUAAAUAUUGAAUUACUAAAAUAUCAAUCAUAAAUAAAUAAAAAUGUAAAACCAUAUAAAUUUUACACUGAUAUAUAGAGGUGUGCAAAUUUUGCGUAAAACUGAAAAAAUUUGGUUAACCAACCGAAUUCGGUUAAUCGGUCGGUUAACCGAAUUUUUCGGUCGGGGGUCGGUUAAGUAUUUUUUAAUUUUUCGAUUAAUGGUUAAUUUAGUUCGAAACCGGUUGGUUAACCGAAUUUUUUCUGUUUAACUGAAUUUUGCAGGGUAAAUACCAUAGGCUUAAAAAGUUCAAAUUAAACCCAGUCCAAUUAAUUUUCUCUCCUCCAAGAACCGAACUUUUUCUUAGCAGGCAGCAGCUGACUUUCACUAAUUCACUUAACACAAAUCGUAUCUCAAUCUCAGUCGAAUCGGGAAAACCCACCAUUUUCACACCUUUUUGCUGUCCAUUUCUGUUCCACCACACCAAUACCCAGACCCAGGGUAAUGCAAGUGCAAGGCACAUUGAGGUUUUCUGAAAGUAGUACAUGUGUUGGGUGACCCAGCUUGUAACUGGGAAGUUUAGCUGUAGUAUAUCGGCUAGAAACUUGGUGUCACUUAUAAUGGCCGCCUUCAAUCAGCUGUUUCAUCAGCUUAGUUCUGUUUCUAUUUAUAAGUGCACUGGAAUUGAUAUUUAUUUAUAAUCAGCUGUUUCUUCAGCCUGUUUUUAAUUAUGUAGUGAUUUAAAAAUUUAUGUAAUAUUUUUAAUUAUGUAGUAAUUCGAUUCUAGUAAUUCGGGUAA